AGCUCUUGGAGAUUUCUGGUUGGAAAAUACUCAUUUUUGCCAUGGAUGUUGCCAAACGAGUCAUUGACUGGCGUCCACUUCCUCCCAUUCCAACAAGCAGACACCUUUGAAGAAAUGAAAAGAAUCUAUGAAGUUGGUGGAUAAAAAUGAACUGAGAUAAAGCAGAAAGAAAAUAUACUGACGUGCAUAAAGAAGAAAAUGAGCUCCUAUCAAAAUAAGUUGGUUCAGAUCUAGAAUAUUAUGAAUGAUCUUCACAUACGGAAACAUUCUCAUGUAUGGGUUACACAUAAACCAAAAAGAAGAUGUAGAUAUGCAUACUGUGGGGACGGGUAAAAGAGAGCAAGAGAGUACAGUUUGUUAUAAUGAAAAAGUGAAUACUUACAGGUGCAUUUUCUUUUCUCAGGUGGGCAAAUACUGAAUCAAAUGCUUCUUUGAAAUGUUCUCUCAGAAUCUCUUUUGUCAGUUUGAACAACCAAGCUCUAUCUGUGUCAUCUACGAGACGAUCAUAAAAUACCCGAAAUACUUCAUGCACAAA